rfam:Paenibacillus sp. MAEPY2 contig7, whole genome shotgun sequence.
AUUAUUCAUUUGCCGAGUUUCAUGUUUGAAAACGGGGGAACCAUUUUGGGUGAAUUAUUCUUAUACAUAGGAAAUAUAGGGAACCUUCUACCGAACCCUUAGCUAACUCCGUAGGCAUCGAAGGGAGAACAC